UACGUAGGGUGCAAGCGUUGUCCGGAAUUAUUGGGCGUAAAGAGCUCGUAGGCGGUCUGUUGCGUCGGCUGUGAAAACCCGGGGCUCAACUCCGGGCCUGCAGCCGAUACGGGCAGACUAGAGUUCGGCAGGGGAGACUGGAAUUCCUGGUGGUAGCGGUGAAAUGCGCAGAUAUCAGGAGGAACACCGGUGGCGAAGGCGGGUCUCUGGGCCGAUACUGACGCUGAGGAGCGAAAGCGUGGGGAGCGAACGG
rnacentral:rRNA from 1 species